CCCUGCUGCCACAGCAGGGUGAGGCAAAGAAGGAUUAUUGCUUGACAUCCACCCAGCAAGAGCACCAGGAGAUGGGGAAACAACAGGCUGAAAUGGACCAUGGGCACCAAUUGGAGGAAAUGCACCAGCCUUGGGAAUCGGCCCAACAAUGGGACUGUUUGUGGGAGGAGGAGGCCGAGCCCCAUUAGCAGUUGUUGGAGUGCAAGAAUGAUCUGUGAAUAAUGUUUUGAUAUCAGGAUUUGGACGAGGAUUCUUGCAAAGCUGAUGCUGCCAAUUUAGACU
rnacentral:misc_RNA from 1 species